CCUACGGGGGACAGCAGUGGGGGAUAUUGCACAAUGGGGGGAACCCUGAUGCAGCGACGCCGCGUGGGUGAAGGAGCGUUUCGGCGCGUAAAGCCCUAUCGGCAGGGAGGAAGAUGACGGUACCUGACCAAGAAGCCCCGGCUAACUCCGUGCCAGCAGCCGCGGUAAUACGUAGGGGGCAAGCGUUAUCCGGAUUUACUGGGUGUAAAGGGGGCGCAGACGGAAUAUCAAGUCAGCGGUAAAAAUUCGGGGCUCAACCCCGUCGUGCCGUUGAAACUGAUGUUCUUGAGUGGGCGAGAAGUAUGCGGAAUGCGUGGUGUAGCGGUGAAAUGCAUAGAUAUCACGCAGAACUCCGAUUGCGAAGGCAGCAUACCGGCGCCCAACUGACGCUGAAGCACGAAAGCGUGGGUAUCGAACAGGAUUAGAUACCCCUGUAGUC
rnacentral:rRNA from 1 species